UAGGGGGGAGUUUGAAUUUUAAAUAUUUAACUUACACUUAAAAGAUCUGAAAUUUUCAGCUCCCUAA
rnacentral:tRNA from 1 species